AGUUACUGGUCCAGUAAAACAUUGCGUAUUGUGUCGGUCGUCCUAAUUAAUAGUUUUAGGUAUAUGUUGAAAGUAUUUUAGGAAAAAGUGUGUCGUUUUGUGUGUGUAUUUGAUUUAAUGUAAAACCUAGAAUAGUGUGUCAUUUUCGUAUAAGUGACUAGAAGGACAUCAACAGUGAUUGGACCAUAUUGGGUUAAAUUAGUUGAUGAACGACCCCCUCUGCUCCAGCGCUGAGUGGCCGCCUUGUUCCAAUGCCCAGACAUCGAUCGUAUACGUCACCCAUUCAUUCGAUGGGGUACCGUCAGAUUCGUCUUCGAUGAUGAGAGAGAGCUGCUGCUGCCGCUGCCGCCAGGAGUACUUUGACCGAAGUGCGAGAGGAUAACAAUUUAUGUGGACCACGAACAAAAUGAGCCUUCUACCAAGCAUCCAAAGUAGUCGAGGACGGAACGCAAAGACGAAAAACGAAAACUUGACGACGAGAAAGCCGUUGUGCUUCUUUCACUGUCAGUGGGAUGUAAUUGAUUUAUAUAACAGCAAGUGUUAUUCGUGGAUGAAGAAUAAAGCAAAUGUAUUUGGCCUUGGAAAGAAUUUAGAUUAAAAAGUACUGCCAAGCAACUUUGCAAAUGGAAUUUUAUGGUCGUUGCACUCAUUUCAAAUAGAUAAAUUACAAAAAAACUUAAUACUUUUUAAUUUUAAAGUUUCGUAAAAUACUACAGUUAUUAAUUUGAAGUAGGUGAGAUGUGGAAGCGUCUGGAGGCCGCAUGAAACCUGAACGCCGUUUGAUUUAUUCCUGUUCUUUUCAGGCAUCUGUUGUUAAUGUUCUUCAAAGCUAUAGUGUAGGUAUGACUCUUGUCUCUGAAGAUGUUAGUGCUUUACAAAGCUACAGAAAAUGGUCUUAUGUUUAUGUCAAUGUUAUUUGUAGUAUGUAUCUCGUCGUCUGAAAGUAUGCGCUAUUUAUGUUGCAAUGGUCGAGCUGCGGCUUCUCGUGCAUUUCUCGUGCAUAGUGAAAACAACUUUUCGUUCAGUGGGAAUUUGUCAAUUAAAGUGUUCGGGAUACAAAACCAGGCUUGAUCUCUGUGCCGUCAUGCCGAAGGCUCCGUUAAGGUGUGAGAGAGCAAGUCCUGGAAACGAAAGCAAUGCAUCAAUUAUCUCUUAUGACAGACGGCACAAAGAAUUGUAACUUUUUUUUUUUUGAAAGUGUUCUGAAUUCUUUAUGAAGGAUCUUCUUAUAAAUGUAAAGGAAUGGAGAAAGUGAUUGCGUAUACCUUCAAUUAACCUAAUUGUGUUUAAAGUGGCUGAGAGGGCUUUAGAUAAUACACACCAAGGCAUUUUACAUGCGUAAAUAAUUGAUACAAAACACUUAAUAUUUACAUUCCAGUUUCUGCAUAGUCAUUAACCUUUAUUGAUAAUGGUGGAACGUAUGAUCAUUUUUCGUCAGUCAAGCCGAAACUCAUCCACUUGCUUUUUGGUCGCUUUUCUACGUCUACUUUGACGAUAUGUGGAUAUUUAUUUAUUUUAUUUCCUCUGUAAUAAUAUUUGCUAGUGUUAAUCGGAAAGUGUUUUUUAUUAUUUUUUUUCUCGGACUCAUCCGUGCUUUAAUUAAGUAGCUGUUUACUCUAAAACUUCUGAUAUAGCAAAAAUUAAGAGCACUGUUAAUGGAACAUGAUAUCUAAACACCUUCUACAAAUAUAAGGCUUUGGUAUCUGUAUAUCACCUGUAAUUUAUAUUUGCUUUUAACAGUACGCCUGUUGUAAUAUGUGAAAUUUGCAGAGGAAAUGUGAUUGCUUAUUAUAUUUUGACAGUUCAACGAGUGUCCUUUGUAUUUCGACUUCUGCCGUUAAUGUUAUAGGGCAAAAGUACUAAGGACAUUCGUUCCUUCCAUUGGGCGUUGUCUCCCUGUCACCUCUAGUUCAUUGUGUAUUUCUCCGGUUCGCAGUUGUCGUAGUAAGAUGAUCUAAGGUAAUCCCUUUUAUUAGUAAGCACAUGCCCGUAGUUUUACGAGAUUGAGGGAAAAUGCUUACUGCGUCACUUUAUUCAUUAGGUAAAAAUUCUAUUAUUGAAAACUGAGGGAAAAUGAAGGUAUAACAUUAAGACUUCUCACCGGACUAAGGAAAUGUGGUAUCCUUCACAGUGAUAUGGAUAUAUAUUUACGUUUUGUGUAGAACACUACUCGCAUUUAUCUAUUUAUUCUAGUAAUGGAUGGAUAUAUACCUUUGUCUGUGGAGAUUCCCUGACUGAAAACCGUAUUUCAAUAUGGAAAUGUGUAUCGUCAUUUAACAGCUUUACACCUUUUCAUUCACGUUAUUUGAAGUUAAUCUGUUAUUGUAUUAGAAGGUAAAACCGACAACGAAAUGGUCUAGCCUGUCUUUUUGGUCGUCAAGCGCUUGACAUUCAAGUCUCAGAGUUUUCACGUAACCAUCUCAUCACACAGUCUCCAAAUAUCUCUAAAUCUUAAAAGCCAUCUUGUUAAACUGACUCCAGGUAUCUCAUGUUGUCAUUUCAUCCGAAUUUUAGAGGCCAUAAA